rnacentral:lncRNA from 1 species
UGAGGAACAAAAAGAAGGGGAUGAAUCUUGAGGAAGAGCUUGGCUAAGAACAAGGUGAUAUCUCUCUCUCUCUCCAUCCCUCUCAAUUUAAAUCCAGUUUCAUGUUCUUUCCUCCCCAGUUUUUGAUUUAUUGUUUUUUUAAACAUAUGUGUGCAGAUCUGAGGAACAAAAAUAAGGGGAUGAAUCUUGAGGAAGAGCUUGGAUAAGAACAAGGUGAUCUCUCUCUCUCUCUCUCUCUCUGAAUUUAAGUCCAGUUUCAUCGUUCUUUAUUGAUGCUAUUUCUCGUGGGAUAUUCAGGAGUUGAGAACAUAUAUUUUGUAGGUGUUCGUAAUGGCAACGGUUGUAAUCAACGAUGAGAAAAAGGGGCUGAGAUUGGAUUUGUACUAGGCAUGUUCCUCAUCUCUCUCAGUCCUUGUUCCUAUCCCCACCCUGAUGUAACUGUUUCUUCACAACUGUUGGAUGUGUCUUAGGAGAUAAAUGCCAUGAAUUGUUUAGAUUCUUGUUGAGCUAACCACUAACAAAUUGUUUGUCCCCUUGUUAAAGCUAAUCAUAGUAAUAUCUGGUAAUCGUCCCAGUCAAAAAAAAAUAUCUGGUAAUCGUCCGGCUGAUGUGUAUGGUGGCAACCAAAUUCAUGUUGAUGAACUGAAUCAAAUCUGUAGUAAAGUUAGUGUUAAAUCACACAUGUGUACAUUCAGGUUCAAUACACUCGAGCAGUUUUGUCACAUCUGUGGAUUUAGUAUGACAAGAAAAUUACUUGGAAACCCUCUUCUUCAUGUCCAGCGGCCGACGCAGCUCUCGUGCCCUCCCAGCGCUGCCGGUCGGGAGCUUCUCCAUCCUACGCCGCUGCCUCGUAUCGGCUAUGCGAAGGAGGGCGGCGAGCAGCAGGAGCUCACCGCGUGCGUGGAGUUGUGUGGACUCCCUGCACCGCAGCUGCCUCUUUGCCAUUGCUGCGAUGCCUCACCGGCCAUGGAUCUGCUGCAGAUGGAGAGCCAACGGGGCCGCCGCCGAUGGGAAGUGCGAAUAGAGAAAGGAUGUGGUCGUCGCCAUCGCAAGAAGGUUUGCCCCCUGACAGACCGUGCACUGUUGUCGCGGGUGCUGCAGCAGUCUUGCUCCUUCCUGGAGCCUUCCUCCUCUCACACCGCCUCUUUGGCGACCCCUGUAGGUUCAUGGUUUUACUCCUGGAGUGGUGUAUUCCUUGAUGAUAUGUUGAUGCGGUCCGCUUGGUGUUCUUGUUUGCUGUUCUUACUUGACAAUAGAGAAAAGAAAUAUCAUCUUUGAAAUGCUUGGAAUCGAUAGAUCAUUCAUGCCGUGGUUGGAUGCAAAUUAAGAACUAUUGGUAUAAGUUUUGUUUUCUUGGUCGGACUUUGUUCAUUUGAUUGUCUUAGUGCAGUCACACGUGCACACUUUUUGCAGGCAUCAGUGAAGAUUUGGGCAGUAGCUAGGGAGGGAUUGCUGGAGUGGAAACAUGGCAAGAACCGGAAAGAGCUCAAGAUUUUGCUACUACCUUGCUAAUAAAUUUGUGAGGUAAUUCAGCUAGCUACAUGUGUGUUUGUUUCUGCUAUACCAAGGUCAUUAUUCUGAUUUAGAAAAUAGAAACAUGAAUUCUGAUUUAAGAGUCUAAUAGCAAAUGUUGGUAGCAUUAAUAGAAUGUGCAUUGUACGCACAAGCUAAUAGUAGAGUUUAAUUCUUCUCAAGUAGCGGUUGUUGAUGUAGACUUGAACUAAUUAAUAAGGCAGGUAUCAAGUAGUGAUAUCGUCCACAAUCGAUGGACGACUAAUAUUCUUGAGCAGGCUCACAGAGCGAGAGACGAACCUGGGCUGACCGGGACCCUUCUAAAACUGUUGUACGUGGGCAAAUUAACCGAGUUUUAGCUGGGAGAGUUAAUGGGAAAGCACGAGUAUAUCUAUGAUUCUGAUCUGUAUAAAAGAACUACAUAGGAUCAUUUUUGUUCUUAUUUUUAAGACAUGCAUGAUCAUCCUAGGCAUUUUGCUGACAAAUAAAAACCUGAAACUAAUUUCUAUUUAACAUAAACUCUAAUAUCUAUACUAUGCAGACAUUUUAGACAUGUAUAUUGGCUCACCAACAAUUUGUUUUCUGUUGAAAUGAAUGGUAAUACUUGAUUUUAAAUUUCCUAAAUCUUUAUUAUUCUUCUGUUGCAAUAUAAUAUAACGAGGCAUGGUCAGCAGGAAACCUAAUUCUCCGUGAACAUGCGCAAAAGAGUCAACUUUUAGUUCUUUUAGAAUUUUUGUUCUUUCCUUAGAGUUCAUGAGAAUUAUUUGUAGACGGUGUUGUGAUGCCCCAGUACUUGUGUGAUGAUAUUCUUCUGACUCUUGCAAUGUCCUAUGCUGACAAAUACAAAUGCUCUGCUCUAUUUGAUGCUAUAAUUGUUCAUUUUGAAUCCAUUGCCUCUUUGUAAUGGUAAACCAGAGUCCCUUGACAGUUCGUUGGUCAUCUUCUUCUCAUGACAGAACUGGCAAGAUGUCAUGAUGGAACAAUAUCUUUUCUGCAUGUAGUAAAUUAUUUUCUUAUUAGUUUAGAUCCGUUAACUGCACUAUAUUUUUAGGAGGUGUCACACUAAGAAUUUCAUAGUUGGAUUUUGAUGUUCCAGGUUGCUUUAUGGAAGUAUUUACAGGCUUGCCAUGACAAGGUAUUUUAUUAGUUUGUUAUCUCCCUUUCCAUAGACUUUUUACAUUCUACUCUGGUUAUUAAGUACGUAUACAUAUAAAGUGUGCUCUAUUGCUUAACUAAAUUCUGGACUUCAGGUAUACUACCUGACAAUGCACCCCGUGUUGAUAAAAAUAAUAUUGGGAUGCACCACAUACUGAUUCACAAAGUUUAGGUCUGUUUCCUUGGAGAUUCACAAACAAGUGAUGUAGAAUUGGAAAAUAGUGAUGUAGAAUUGAUCCGAAUUUUAAACAGACCUGCCCCUGAAUUUUAAACAGACCUGCACCUGGGUUUUUAACUGCCUUUUCUGUAUCUUAUUAUUUUACAGGAAUGCAUCAAUAAUCUUGGUAUAAAAUUUAUUUGGAUGGUUCAGAACCUUCAGAUGGCAUGGCUGAGAUAUAGUUUGUUGUAUUCAGUUUUUUUUUCAUCGUCACAGGUUUGCAAAUUUUGGUUCUACUGCCAGUGCAUACUUUAUGUUUCCAUUUCCAUCAAUUCAUCUUGUAGAAUAUCUGUGACCCUCGACGUUGGUUUGGAAGUUCGGUUCAGUCAUAGCCUAAUUUUUGGGUCUUCGCAAAAAAAGGCCUAAUUUUUGGGAUUUAGUAAUUGCGGCCUGUUGUUAGUAUGCGAGUGUACAUACAAACGAUUAGCACUAUAUUUACUUUGAUUUAUUUGUUGUGAUUAAGAGCAGAAGCUCUACUCAUCUAGGACGAGGUCUAUGACAAGGAAAGUUAAUGUAAAAAAUCAAAAUUGUGUGUUUGUGUGGUUAAUACUCACUUCAUUUUGAUAUAUUUGUCUUCUAAUAACCCACCGUGCACAGGACAGACCAUGCAAGCAUCAACUUAUCAAGAAAUGACUUAUUAACCUAUUAAAAGACCAUACCGGAACCACCUAUGGCAUAACCUUUUCAAAACAUUUAAGUAGGGGUGGGCAAUAGAAGCGUUGUAGUAACUGCUCGCUUGUUGAACGGACAAACAUUUUGACGAUGACUCUUGCUUUCAUGGAUAUACAGAGAUAAAUGGAUGGAUGUUGCAAAUACAGUAGAAAUCAUGGGUGCAACAAUUUUUAUGUCCAUGUUUUUCUUUUUGUCUGAUUGUGUAUGUAUACUGGUUACAGGGCACUAUUUGCGUAGAAUUUACUUGACCUGUAGGAACUGGCUCUACUAUCUAGCUUUUAAAUGUAAUAAAUCUAGAAGGCAAUGGAGCAUUACUGUCUUUCCCUCUUUCUACAUAAGCAAGAAAGUUGUGACUUGGAUUCUGGACAUGAAUCUUCUUAACCUGUUGAAGCAAAAAACUAUAGAUGCAGAGUCCAAUUAGUUGUCCUUUGUGCAUACACAAGAAAGUGGAAUUUGGAGUCUGAACAUGAAUCCUUGAGACUGAUGGCCAGAAACAGAACACAACAUGAUGACCUUGAGUGAGACCCUUCUUCACAUGUGACUGCUCUCUUUUGGAAUACCAGCCAUGCGUGACAUGUUUAGUAGAACAGAUUGUGUCGUACGUCUGGUAGUUGUUGUUGCCUAUACAGAGUGUGAUGAUCUGAGGGUGUGAACUAUUUUUUGUGCAAAAUACUUGUUAUAUAAACUAUAUGGAUGGAGUUACGGGACAUUAAGAAAAGAUAUGAGAAAGAAUAUAGAGUGUGAAAUUUUCUAUAUAAAUUACUUGUUAUAUAAAAGUUGAAUCUCACGGUCCAACUUUUUAGAACUAUGCCACAACUUUUAUGAGGCCAUAAGUUUUUCUUUUGAAAUCUGCAGGUUAUAUGAUUUGUACAUGGCGGUGUUACUGAACAGAAGGAGGUAAUUUCUUCGCUCUUUCUAUUGAUUAAUAUUGUUCUUCACUCUUUCUAAACUAUUGAAUUUAUUAAUAUUAUUCUUGCACAAAUUAAUUAAUGAUUAUAUCAUCUUUUGGUCACUCGAGUAAGAUAGAACAUGAUGAUCCUCUCUUAAUUUGGUUUCUCCUCCGCUGAAGAAUAUAGGAAUCACCAGCAGCCCUUCUCGUGAGCACCAUGUCUAUGAACUCAUCUCCAUGCUUACUAUCCUUCUAUAAACUGGGGGUAUCCAUGUGUUGCUAAUAAGGCAUUUUCCAUUCUUUGUUUUUCAAUUCUGUAUCAGUAGUUCCGAGGAAGUGCUCAACCUAGACGUUGUUGGCCGAAGGAGGGGCGGAGCAGGUGCCAGUCAAGUAGGCGGCUCAAUGGGUGGGAGAUGGCAGCUGCCGAUCUCACACGGCUCAUGCGCCCCGCGACCCUCCCCUCCCCGGCUAAGUAGGAGGUUCGAGGGCAGCGACUAAGGAAGGAGCACAUCGGCGAUGAGGGCUAGCAAUAGCAAGACAAUUGCCAGGUGCAGUCGAUAUGCCGCCACGUCGGCCCUUCACGCGCGCCCGCCAGGGUCGGGACCUUUUUCAGAGCAAUGCGUAGUGUUUCCUUUAUUGUUGUUGUUUGUGAUGUCCUUGAUAUUCCUUUGCCAUAUGAUUUUUGAUCAUUUUCUCGCUCAUUCCUAGAGGAGCGCUAUGGAUAAUAUGAUUGAGAUGACUAAGAUACAUGCUUUUUGUUUACUUGGCAUCUCCUUCUCUUAAUUUUUCUACAACCCUUCCUUUACAUGCUGGUAUGUUUUGUUGCCAGGCUCAGAUCGGCGAGACCCGUGCCAAUGCACGAGGUACAAUAUUGGUUAAUUUUCCAUCUCCAAUCAGAUUAAUGGUUUGCAUGCAGACCAAGCCCAGUGUUUUAUGGUGUUCUUAUUCCUGAUUUAGUUGUACAUUUGACUUUUAGUUUCUUCAUAGAUAAUAAAGUAGUGGCAGAUGAACCAGUAAGUUAUCUGUGCCCAUUCUUUGCUGUAAGCAUUAAAUUUGAUCUCUGCUUUUACUUUCAAUGUGUUAUCCGUACCCCUAUUUUUUGUGGCUAAUUAUUAUGGUGUUCUUAUUCCUGAUUUAGUUGUACAUUUGACUUUUAGUUUCUUCAUAGAUAAUAAAGUAGUGGCAGAUGAACCAAUAAGUUAUCUGUGCCCAUUCUUUGUUGUAAGCAUUAAAUUUGCUCUCUGCUUUUACUUUCAAUGUGUUAUCCGUACCCCUGUUUUUUGUGGCUAAUUAUUAUGUCCUAUCAACAUAUGCAGAGUCCAUGGUAUCAUACGAUUUGAAGUUGAAAAAAUCAUGCUAUGGGUGAUACGGAAAAGUCAUUGCCUUCUUUGCUGGAACAUUUCCUAAGAUGAUCUAAGGUAAUUAUUUUAGUCACCAUGUCAUUUAUAUGCUAAAUUCAGUGCGUUGACAACUAGAGAUCGCUUCCUUUUUUGUGUAUUGAUCAUUUCAGUACGAUUGUUUGAUACACUGCCGACAUCAUUUUGCUUUCUUCUUGCUUGUUAUUUCAUUUAUUUCCUCCAGCAAGUGGAUGGCUAUUUCCACUGCUUCAAGUGUUGUUUUGGCUCUAAUUGUGUGUAUGGCAUCUUGGCCUUCUUAGGUGAAGCAUUUAUGAAUAUCCUCGCUGAUCUAUGGAUCUAUCAUUGUAAGAGUCGAUAAUAUAUGGUGAGCUGCCUCACACCAUCAUUUGGUCUUUGUGGCAUUUGAGUUGGCAAAUUUGUUGGAUUCAUGCGAUUAGGCAUGGUAAGUGCUCAGAGACCUCAUAGCUCUAUAAAUUUUGCUUCCAAAAGUUCUGAAUCUUUUCUGUGCUUGGUCCUCUCAUUGGUGAGAGUAGCCAUGUAAAUCAAUCUGCAAUGGGAAAUGGGAGUUUGCAAACUACCGGAGUCUAAUUGCUGAGGGACGAGGUUCGUAACUGAGGGUCAUGUGCAGAGCUGGAGGAAGAAGUUGCGAGGCUUGGAACUCUCCUUGUGAAGGGCUCAGGGACAACAGUGAGGACAAUGCCUCUUUAGUUGUAGUUGUGAUACUCCUGAUGUGCAAGUAAACAUUCCUGUGAUACUGCUUAUGCUAAAAUGUUGGUUGUUAGUACAGAGGUGGUGACAUUAUUUGGUUCUCUGAUAUUGAUUUCAUGAUUUGUAAUAUAAUCCACAUUGCAUUAUCUUUCCAGUAACAUCUCCUACUUAUGCACUACUAACAUUCUUUCUAAUUCGGUUCUUGCGCCAUUGGCGCAACCGGGUCAUCUAGU